rnacentral:lncRNA from 1 species
UUGCAAGUUAUGUUAACACGUUCUUUCAGUGAACAUUAUUCCUUACCACUUUUUUCUUCACAGGACCACCGAUUCAUCACACUGAAGGGUGGAUUUCUGCCGGUGAGGUGAUGUGUCUGCAACUCAUCGUAGUACAUCCUACCCGUGAAGAUGGGUGCUGCUGUGUGACUUUAGAAGCCUGGAUGUGCCUUGAAGAAAUGCUGAAGGAGUCGGUGGCUUCUGCAGUUCAACCAGAUGAAGAGCACCCCGAAGCAUCUGCGCAUCAUCGCCUCUGCCUGUCAGCGUGGUGUACAGUAAUUGUUUUAGUGUUCUCUCUCAGACCGCACCAACAGUCUAUUGCAGAUGUGGAGGUACUGUAAAACUGUAGGUAUUUAACUUG